AAGUAAUUAAGGGCGCAUGGUGGAUGCCUUGGCUCACGCAGGCGAUGAAGGACGUGAUAAGCUGCGAUAAGCUGCGGUGAGGCGCAAAUAGCCUUUGACCCGCGGAUUUCCGAAUGGGACAACCCGGGCGGUAGAAGACCGCUCAUCGAUAGCACAGGCUAUCGAAGCUAACCCUGGGAACUGAAACAUCUUAGUACCAGGAGGAAAAGAAAAUAAAUUAAUGAUUCCCCCAGUAGUGGCGAGCGACCGGGGAAGAGCCUAAACCGGGAGGGUGGCAACGCUCCCCCGGGGUUGUAGGACUGAGCUGUGGUACGUUUUAGGUGAGCGGAACGGUCUGGAAAGUCCGGCCAGAGCGGGUGAGAGCCCCUUAUGCGAAACCGACGGCGGCCUAUCAGUAUCCUGAGUAACGCGGGGCACGAGAAAUCCUGCGCGAAUCCGCCGGGACCAUCCGGCAAGGCUAAAUACUGGCGUGAGACCGAUAGUGAACGAGUACCGUGAGGGAAAGGUGAAAAGCACUCCGAGCAGGAGAGUGAAAGAGUUCCUGAAACCAUGUGCCUACAAGCGGUCGGAGCAUAGAUAAUAUGUGACGGCGUGCCUUUUGCAUAAUGAACCUACGAGUUGCCAUGUCCGGCAAGGUUAAGUGUCUAAGACACCUAGCCGCAGUGAAGGCGAGCCUGAAGAGGGCGAACGAGUCGGAUGGGGCAGACGCGAAACCAAGUGAUCUACACUUGCCCAGGAUGAAGUCCGGGUAACACCGGAUGGAGGUCCGCACGAAUAAGCGUUGAAAAGCUUCUCGAUGAGGUGAGUGUAGGAGUGAAAGGCCAAUCAAACUUGGAGAUAGCUCGUACUCCCCGAAAUGCAUUUAGGUGCAGCGUGCCGAGAUUAGCGCGAGAGGUAGAGCGACCGAUAGGACGCGAGGGCUUCACCGCCUGUCAAGUCCUGACGAACUCCGAAUGCUUGCGCUACGCAUCGGUGCAGUAAGGGGGCGGGUGCUAAGGUCCGUCCCCGAGAGGAGAAGAAUCCUGACCGCCGUCUAAGGCCCCGGAAUACUGCCUGAGUUAGUCUAACGAAGUCUGGCCUCAGUGACAGCUAGGAUGUUGGCUUGGAAGCAGCCAUUCAUUCAAAGAGUGCGUAACAGCUCACUAGUCGAGAGUCCGGGCAUGGAUAAUAAUCGGGUAUAAGGCAGUUGCCGAAGACGCGGGAUAGUAAACAAUAAAAGUAUCGGUAGGGGAGCAUUCCAUAUCCGUCGAAUGGUGUAAGCGAUUUAUCCUGGAGGAUAUGGAAAAGCAAAUGUAGGUAUAAGUAACGAUAAAGGGGGUGAGAAUCCCCCUCGCCGCAAGACCGAGGUUUCCCGGGCGAUGCCAAUCAGCCCGGGGUCAGUCGGGACCUAAUGCUAAGCCGAACGGUGAGGCAGAUGGCAGACACGGUUAAUAUUCCGUGACUUGCGGCCGGAGCGAUGUGGAGAUGCGGUAGUGACACCGUCGCGCACAUACGGAUUUGUGCGUUGAAGGCCGUAGGCAAUGAGGGAAGCAGGCAAAUCCACUUUCCGAGCUGAACGCCGAAAGUACGGGGACUUCUCCGGAAGUCCCUGACAGCACGGGUAAUCAGACCGCCGGGAAAAUCCGCUAAGCAUAUCUGGCCGCAACCCGUACCGCAAACGGACACACGUGGUCGGGUAGAACAUACUGAGGCGUUGAGAGAUUCAUGGUUAAGGAACUAGGCAAACUGACCCUGUAACUUCGGGAUAAAGGGUCCUCAUAGCAAUAUGAGGCGCAGAGAAUAGGUCCAGGCAACUGUUUAACAAAAACACAGGGCUGUGCGAACUCGAAAGAUGAAGUAUACAGCCUGACACCUGCCCGGUGCCGGAAGGUUAAGAGGAGAUGUCACUCCGCACGGACGAAGCAUUGAAUUGAAGCCCCGGUAAACGGCGGCCGUAACUAUAACGGUCCUAAGGUAGCGAAAUUCCUUGUCGGGUAAGUUCCGACCUGCACGAAUGGUGUAAUGAUCCGGACGCUGUCUCAACCAUGAGCUCAGUGAAAUUGUAGUAUCGGUGAAGAUGCCGAUUACCCGCGAUGGGACGAAAAGACCCCGUGAACCUUUACUACAGCUUAGCACUGACCUUGGUCAUCCGAUGUGUAGGAUAGGCCGGAGGCUAUGAAGGAGCCACGCCAGUGGUUUUGGAGCCAUCCUUGAAAUACGGCCCUUUGGCUGUCUGAGGUCUAACGCGCUGUGAGUGCGGACACUGCUUGGCGGGUAGUUUGACUGGGGUGGUCGCCUCCAAAAGUGUAACGGAGGCUUCCAAAGGUGCCCUCGGGCCGAUUGGUAACCGGCCUCAAAGAGUGCAAUGGCAUAAGGGCGCUUGACUGGGAGGGAGACAUCCCGAGCAGGCAGGAAACUGGGGCAUAGUGAUCCGGCGGACGUGUAUGGAAACUCCGUCGCUCAAAGGAUAAAAGGUACUCCGGGGAUAACAGGCUGAUCCCCCCCAAGAGCUCAUAUCGACGGGGUGGUUUGGCACCUCGAUGUCGGCUCGUCACAUCCUGGGGCUGGAGAAGGUCCCAAGGGUUUGGCUGUUCGCCAAUUAAAGUGGCACGCGAGCUGGGUUCAGAACGUCGUGAGACAGUUCGGUCUCUAUCUAUCGUGGGCGCAGGAGUUUUGAGUGGUGCCGUCACUAGUACGAGAGGACCGUGACGGACAGACCUCCGGUCUACCGGUUGUGCCGCCAGGUGCACCGCCGGGUAUCUGAGUCUGGUUUAGGAUAAGCGCUGAAAGCAUCUAAGCGCGAAGCCAUCCGCGAGAUUAGAACUCCUUUUUUAGGGUCGUCCGAGACGAGGACGUUGAUAGGGCGCAGGUGUAAAGACGGUGACGUCAAAGCCGAGCGCUACUAAUUGCCCGAAACUU
rnacentral:rRNA from 1 species